UUGUUAAUACAUCCUUGCCAAGCAAACAAAAGAACAUGCAAACAAAAGAAACGCUUUCCUAAAGCGAAGAUUUAUAUUUUUAUCAAGAAAGUGUGGGAAGUAGGUCUGUUAAACCAUGUUUUUAAAAAUAUAUAUUUUAGUGUCCCUUAAACAAUAAUAAUGAAAUAACUAUAAUGUUACGCAUCAAUGUGUUGCCAGUCAGAUAUAUGUUGAAAUUAAUAUAACUGAAUUCAACUUUUGAUGGAAUGUUACCUGCAACAACAAUGCAGUUGUGCUCGUGGAAACUGACUUGGGACAGGAAAUUUAAUGGAAUUCCUGUUUAGUCCAAUUGUAUAGGGGAUAGGUUUGGCCAAAAGAAUGUAUAAUAUGGAUUAGCUGGAUGUGCUGCACAAAUCUAAAUAAUUGUUUUAAUGAAUGCAAAAUUUAAUGCUCACAGUAUUUGCAAAGAUAUAUGGGUGUGUUAAGAAGUUUUUUAGAUGUGUGUUUGAGGAUCACAUGCUGCAGAAAUAUCCGUUUCUGUGCUCACUCAAUACCAGCCUUCUGGAAGAGUCCAUCAGGUUUCUUGGAUAGUUGCCUGAUGCAAAAAAACUGACAGGAAGUGAGGAAAAGAAGGGUCGAAACAAGAGAAAGCAAGGUGUUGAUGAGAUAGAGAAGGAGGAACCACACACUUCUUCUGUAUCCAGAUCCAGCCAGAAGAAAGCAGCCAUGAAGCCCGGCUUCUCCCUACCAUUAAAGAGAGUAAAGAAGGAGGAUAUUUGGACAUUGGAUUGUGAUAAGAAUCAGCUUCCUGUUACCUGUGGAGAUAAAGAGGGCACACUGUAUAGUGACAAGCUUGCCAGAGGAGAGAAGUGUAUUUUGUCCUGGGACCGCUGGUUCAACCCAUGUGACUUUGAGAGAUUUUCAGGAAGGGGAAGUAGCAGGAACUGGAAACUCACCAUCUCCUGCCAAAACAGCACACUGCAUAAACUUAUACAGGAGGGUCAUUUGCAGUGGCCACGCACAUACAGAGUCUUAAUUUUCUAGUCUUAAAACAAUCAUACAAAAAGCAGGAGUUAACUCUGACAUAUGGACACUGGAAGAAAGACAUACUGUGUCACGGCAAAACCCUUAACUAUCUGGUGAAGAAAAAAAUCCUGUAUAUCCAUUCACUGCUGUGUCCCUGUUGUCUGUGCUGUCCUGAGAACCGGCUGGACCAUCAAUGAUGUCAAUGAUGACGUGUGCUACAUUUGUAACUCGGCGGGAAAUCUGGUGCGCUGUGACGAGUGUGACUGCCAGGGUAAUAAAGAUGAAAAGUAAGAACAGAAGGCAGAAAGGUGUGUAUGAGAUUUUGGACUGGGUGGAGAAGCAGGGAGGCGGUGUAUAAAGCUGUUUUGGAGGAUUAAUGAAAAGUUACCCAAUGUAAAGAAACUGGCAGGAAAUAAGGAAAAGAAGGCAGAGCAAAAAAAGCAUGGAGCAAAGAGAAAGAAAAGUGUUGAUGAAACAGAAGGGGAGGAUGCAGGCCCUUGUUCUGUGUCCAGCUCCAGCCAGAAGAAGCCCAAGUCACUUAAACAGGCCGAAUGGAUUUUCCAACGGAUGAGGAGUUGAUCAGAUUUCUUCACCGCAAGAAGACAGUGAUCUCCUCUUGUACAGAGGAACCACUCACCUUCCUCAACCAGCUCCGAGACCAUGACCUGGUACCUGAGGAUCUCUACCAGAAAGUAAUUAGAAUGAAAAAUAAGGAGAGAAGACAGAAAGGUGUGUAUGAUAUUUUGGACUGGGUGGAGAAUAAACAAGGACACCAUGUGAAACUGUUUUGGAGUUGUGUGUUUCAGGAUCACAUCCUGCAGAAAUAUCCCGGACUCCGUGUGCUCCAAAAAAGACUUCUUGAUGGUUCCUUCAGGAUUUCUGCAAGGCUUAUCAAAGCAGAGAAACCAACCAUUAACACAGAAGUUCAGAGAAAGGAAAAGAAGCAAGAGCAAAAGAAGGGUGCAACAAAGAGAAAAAAAAUUGGUGAAGAGACACACGAGGAGGAACGAGGCCCUUCCUCUGUGUCCAGCCGAAAGAAACCAGCCAUGAAGCUCACACUCUGUUCCUAUAGGAUUCCUAAGAAGCUUCCCAAGGCAUAUGAACCAAGAAAUAAUAUGAAAGUUGAGAGAAAGGAAAAGAAGCAAGAGCAAAAGAAAGGUGCAACAAAGAAAAGUGGUGAACAGACACAUAAGGAGGAACGAGGCCCUUCCUCUGUGUCCAGCCAAAAGAAACCAGCCAUGAAGCCCACACUCUGAAAGGAGUGUAUUUUGUCCCAGGGCAUGUGGUUCACACCAGGUGACUUUGAGAGAUUUUCAGGAAGGGGAAAUAGCAAGAACUGGAAACUCUCAAUCCGCUGCCAAAACAUUACACUGCAUGAACUUAUAAAGGAGAGUAAAUUGCAGUGUCAAUACAUGAAGGUCAGAAGAAAAUGAGAUUACCUUUAAGCUGUGUGGAAAGCUCCAGCCCUCAUCAGUACACCCAGACCUUUAUUUUAUAGGAGUCCACUCACUGGUCCAACAACAGUAUCCAAUGACAUGGUGGAAGGUUUCCUGUGCUUUUCUGUCUUUUUGAAGCGAUGUGGAUACAUUUACAUUAUUACAUUUGUUAUUCCACUUUUGUUUGAUUCUGUCUUAAAUUAAAUCUGACUCCAAUU